AAGCGGUGGAGCAUGUGGUUCAAUUCGAAGCAACGCGCAGAACCUUACCUGGGUUUGACAUGCACUGUUCAAUCCGUGAAAGCGGGUGGCGUAGCAAUACGCGAAGUGCACAGGUGCUGCAUGGCUGUCGUCAGCUCGUGUCGUGAGAUGUCGGGUUAAGUCCCUUAACGAGCGAAACCUUUGCCCUUAGUUACUAACGAGUUAUGUCGAGGACUCUAAGGGGACUGCCGGUGUCAAACCGGAGGAAGGUGGAGAUG
rnacentral:rRNA from 1 species